AUUAAUAUAAAUUAGGGAUUUCUACAGAUCAAAAAAACUAAGAAAAGAAUUUGCAUAAAUUAAAUUGAGAAUUAUAGAUAAAAUCUAAGUGGAUUCUUACCUAGAUAUUGUUUUGUCACUUGGUUGAUAUUUGAUUUUUUUUUUCUUUUAUUUCUUUGAUGUAUUCAUUAGUUAAUUUUAGUUUUAAUCAAUCUUUUGAAUUAUUAGGUUAUAUAAUAGGAAGACGAUUGUAAUACCAAUUAUUUGCCUGGCCCACAUAUAAAAAUAAUGAACAAAAAAACCCAAAUAAAGAGUCCAUUUUCUUUUACAAGCCCAAUAUCAUUAACCAGCCCAAAACCCAGGCCCGAUUUUAGCAUGGUCCAAAGCAAACAUGCAGAAGCAGCAACCCUAGCCGCAACGCCUCCAGCGGACUCCAUGCGACGUACGUCUCGGAGCUGAUCCUCCCUACGCGCGCACGUACACCUGCAAACACGGACUCAAAAGAGUCCAAAAGAAAAGAAACAGUGAAAAAUAGCACUUGUAUUUGAUUUUUCAGGCUAUAUAAGGCCGACUUUUAUUCUGUAAAAGGGGGGAUUUGGAGUGUAAAAAAAUACGAAAAUAGAGAGAAAAUACUGAGAUUACAAAGGGUUUUUUCGAAGGUGAAUCGUGUUUAUUUUUUUCAUUUUUUAUUCUUUUUUAUUUUAUUUUUUAUUUAUUUUUAAUUUAAAAUAUAAAGAAUGGAGGAAGGACUUACUUCUCUCGCCAGAUUCGUCGAGUCGGCGCUAUCUCCGUCGCAAUCGGAACCUUGGCGCGAGGCUAAGCGGCGGCGUAUGAGGGUUUAGGAAACCCUAAAAGGGUCUGGUUUCUCCUCUGGAAAGGGAAACCCAAAAGAACAAAUAAAUGUUCUUUUGUUUAAUUUUCUUUUUUUCCUUUAAGACCUAAA
rnacentral:lncRNA from 1 species